rfam:Pterocles gutturalis contig62785, whole genome shotgun sequence.
CCAACGGCUCUUUUAAGAGCCACUCCAACUUUCCUAAAACGAGCUG